UAACAGUGUUUUGUGAAUGUUGGAGUCUU
rnacentral:piRNA from 1 species